rnacentral:misc_RNA from 1 species
GAAAUGCGAUACUUGGUGUGAAUUGCAGAAUCCCGUGAACCAUCGAGUCUUUGAACGCAAGUUGCGCCCGAAGCCAUUAGGCCGAGGGCAGGCCUGCCAAAGCAACAAAGUGUAAUAAACAAAGGGUGGUAGGUUACCCGGGAGGCCUUGCGGCAACCCGGAUGACUACUGUAAUGAUCCUUCCGCAGGUUCACCUACGGAAACCUUGUUACGACUUUUACUUCC